GACGAACGCUGGCGGCGUGCUUAACACAUGCAAGUCGAACGGGGUCCAACCAGUGGCAACACUGGGGAAGAUCUAGUGGCGAACGGGUGAGUAACACGUGAGGAACCUGCCCCGAUCUCUGGGAUAACAGCGGGAAACCGCUGCUAAUACCGGAUGCCCUCCUCUGAUCGCAUGGUCGGAAGAGGAAAGGAUUCUGGAUCGGGAGGGUCUCGCGGCCUAUCAGCUUGUUGGCGGGGUAACGGCCCACCAAGGCUCCGACGGGUAGCUGGUCUGAGAGGACGACCAGCCACACUGGGACUGAGACACGGCCCAGACUCCUACGGGAGGCAGCAGUGGGGAAUCUUGCGCAAUGGGCGAAAGCCUGACGCAGCAACGCCGCGUGGGGGAUGAAGGCCCUCGGGUUGUAAACCCCUUUCAGCAGGAACGAAACUGACGGUACCUGCAGAAGAAGGUCCGGCCAACUACGUGCCAGCCGCCGCAGUAAUAC
rnacentral:rRNA from 1 species